UUAUGUAAUUUUUUUCUUAAAUAAAAAGGCAAAAUAGCCUCAAUAGGUAGACGGAAAGGGCAUUUUAGACUCAAUAGAUAGACAGGAAGGGCAUUUUAGGCCCAAUAGAUAGACGGGAGGCAUUUUUGCAUCAUUUCACAUAGUUGAAGGGCAUUUUGGGCCCUUUUCCAUUUUUAAUUUGAAGCUAAGCUUGUAGUCUGGACAUCCCUCUACCACAAAUUUAUUCCACCAAACCCUUACCAGAUUGCUAAACCUCACCUUGAGCCACCGAUUUUUGAAUUUAAAGUUGGAUCUAUUCUUCUCCUAGUUACCACACUUGAGCAUAAUGGGACUGUGGUCGGAGGUCACCCUAGGAAGUAAUCUCUGUCAGAUGUUUCUGAACACUCCAUGGAGUACAAAAAUCUGUCCAACCUCGCAGCGCUUCUAUGGUUGACUCUCCUAAACCACGAAAAGUUCCCUCCUUCAUGAAAUUCCAUAUCUUCAAUCCAUCUAGAGAAAUCUCACAUAACAUUUGUGAUUCUACUGCAACCUCUUCUUUCUGCCAUGAAUCUACUGUAUUGAAAUCCCCACCACUCAUACCAAUCUCCUGAAGUUCCAUUUAGCCACGACACAUCAAAAGAUUUGAAGCCGACCGCAAAGAAGAUGGUGUCCUCCAUGAUAGCAAGAGAGAGCAAAAGAAGAGGGAAAGAAAAUGAAGAAGAAAAGGGAAAAACAAAAGAAGGGGUCUGGUGAUCGAAACGAUCACUGGAGAUGGAGGGAGGAAACCUAGGUUGGAUUAGGCCUUUUCCUCGAGAACUGUGUCUAGGAGAGAAAAUGAACUGUCAGAUUGAUUUGUCUUUGCGUUGAUUCUAUACACCAAUGUUUACCCAAAGAGAAAUUCUUCUACAGGUACCAGACACCUGUGGUAGGACCAUCUUCCACAUUCAACACACUUAGGGGUCGUUUGGUACAAAGAGAUAUUAUUCAUGGAUUAACAAUACAGGGAUUAGCAAUGCAGGGAUUAGUAAUAGAGGGAUUAUUUUUUAUCAAGUGUUUGGUGUAUUAUAUUAAAACAUAAAUAUAUCAUGUAUUGUGUUUAGAUUUAAAAUUCUACAAAAAUUUUUUUA